GGUUAAGCGACUAAGCGUACACGGUGGAUGCCCUGGCAGUCAGAGGCGAUGAAGGACGUGCUAAUCUGCGAAAAGCGUCGGUAAGGUGAUAUGAACCGUUAUAACCGGCGAUGUCCGAAUGGGGAAACCCAGUGUGUUCCGACACACUAUCAUUAACUGAAUCCAUAGGUUAAUGAGGCGAACCGGGGGAACUGAAACAUCUAAGUACCCCGAGGAAAAGAAAUCAACCGAGAUUCCCCCAGUAGCGGCGAGCGAACGGGGAGGAGCCCAGAGCCUGAAUCAGUGUGUGUGUUAGUGGAAGCGUCUGGAAAGGCGCGCGAUACAGGGUGACAGCCCCGUACACAAAAAUGCACAUGCUGUGAGCUCGAAGAGUAGGGCGGGACACGUGGUAUCCUGUCUGAAUAUGGGGGGACCAUCCUCCAAGGCUAAAUACUCCUGACUGACCGAUAGUGAACCAGUACCGUGAGGGAAAGGCGAAAAGAACCCCGGCGAGGGGAGUGAAAAAGAACCUGAAACCGUGUACGUACAAGCAGUGGGAGCCUCUUAAUGGGGUGACUGCGUACCUUUUGUAUAAUGGGUCAGCGACUUAUAUUCUGUAGCAAGGUUAACCGAAUAGGGGAGCCGGAGGGAAACCGAGUCUUAACUGGGCGUUAAGUUGCAGGGUAUAGACCCGAAACCCGGUGAUCUAGCCAUGGGCAGGUUGAAGGUUGGGUAACACUAACUGGAGGACCGAACCGACUAAUGUUGAAAAAUUAGCGGAUGACUUGUGGCUGGGGGUGAAAGGCCAAUCAAACCGGGAGAUAGCUGGUUCUCCCCGAAAGCUAUUUAGGUAGCGCCUCGUGAAUUCAUCUCCGGGGGUAGAGCACUGUUUCGGCAAGGGGGUCAUCCCGACUUACCAACCCGAUGCAAACUGCGAAUACCGGAGAAUGUUAUCACGGGAGACACACGGCGGGUGCUAACGUCCGUCGUGAAGAGGGAAACAACCCAGACCGCCAGCUAAGGUCCCAAAGUCAUGGUUAAGUGGGAAACGAUGUGGGAAGGCCCAGACAGCCAGGAUGUUGGCUUAGAAGCAGCCAUCAUUUAAAGAAAGCGUAAUAGCUCACUGGUCGAGUCGGCCUGCGCGGAAGAUGUAACGGGGCUAAACCAUGCACCGAAGCUGCGGCAGCGACGCUGAUGCGUUGUUGGGUAGGGGAGCGUUCUGUAAGCCUGUGAAGGUGUGCUGUGAGGCAUGCUGGAGGUAUCAGAAGUGCGAAUGCUGACAUAAGUAACGAUAAAGCGGGUGAAAAGCCCGCUCGCCGGAAGACCAAGGGUUCCUGUCCAACGUUAAUCGGGGCAGGGUGAGUCGACCCCUAAGGCGAGGCCGAAAGGCGUAGUCGAUGGGAAACAGGUUAAUAUUCCUGUACUUGGUGUUACUGCGAAGGGGGGACGGAGAAGGCUAUGUUGGCCGGGCGACGGUUGUCCCGGUUUAAGCGUGUAGGCUGGUUUUCCAGGCAAAUCCGGAGAAUCAAGGCUGAGGCGUGAUGACGAGGCACUACGGUGCUGAAGCAACAAAUGCCCUGCUUCCAGGAAAAGCCUCUAAGCAUCAGGUAGCAUCAAAUCGUACCCCAAACCGACACAGGUGGUCAGGUAGAGAAUACCAAGGCGCUUGAGAGAACUCGGGUGAAGGAACUAGGCAAAAUGGUGCCGUAACUUCGGGAGAAGGCACGCUGAUGGUAGGUGAAGCGACUUGCUCGUGGAGCUGAAAUCAGUCGAAGAUACCAGCUGGCUGCAACUGUUUAUUAAAAACACAGCACUGUGCAAACACGAAAGUGGACGUAUACGGUGUGACGCCUGCCCGGUGCCGGAAGGUUAAUUGAUGGGGUCAGCGCAAGCGAAGCUCUUGAUCGAAGCCCCGGUAAACGGCGGCCGUAACUAUAACGGUCCUAAGGUAGCGAAAUUCCUUGUCGGGUAAGUUCCGACCUGCACGAAUGGCGUAAUGAUGGCCAGGCUGUCUCCACCCGAGACUCAGUGAAAUUGAACUCGCUGUGAAGAUGCAGUGUACCCGCGGCAAGACGGAAAGACCCCGUGAACCUUUACUAUAGCUUGACACUGAACACUGGUCCUUGAUGUGUAGGAUAGGUGGGAGGCUUUGAAGUGUGGACGCCAGUCUGCAUGGAGCCGUCCUUGAAAUACCACCCUUUAAUGGCUGGUGUUCUAACGUUGGCCCCUUACCGGGGUUGCGGACAGUGUCUGGUGGGUAGUUUGACUGGGGCGGUCUCCUCCUAAAGAGUAACGGAGGAGCACGAAGGUUGGCUAAUCCUGGUCGGACAUCAGGAGGUUAGUGCAAUGGCAUAAGCCAGCUUGACUGCGAGCGUGACGGCGCGAGCAGGUGCGAAAGCAGGUCAUAGUGAUCCGGUGGUUCUGAAUGGAAGGGCCAUCGCUCAACGGAUAAAAGGUACUCCGGGGAUAACAGGCUGAUACCGCCCAAGAGUUCAUAUCGACGGCGGUGUUUGGCACCUCGAUGUCGGCUCAUCACAUCCUGGGGCUGAAGUAGGUCCCAAGGGUAUGGCUGUUCGCCAUUUAAAGUGGUACGCGAGCUGGGUUUAGAACGUCGUGAGACAGUUCGGUCCCUAUCUGCCGUGGGCGCUGGAGAACUGAGGGGGGCUGCUCCUAGUACGAGAGGACCGGAGUGGACGCAUCACUGGUGUUCGGGUUGUCAUGCCAAUGGCACUGCCCGGUAGCUAAAUGCGGAAGAGAUAAGUGCUGAAAGCAUCUAAGCACGAAACUUGCCCCGAGAUGAGUUCUCCCUGAGACUUAGAGUCUCCUGAAGGAACGUUGAAGACGACGACGUUGAUAGGCCGGGUGUGUAAGCGCAGCGAUGCGUUGAGCUAACCGGUACUAAUGAACCGUGAGGCUUAACCUU
rnacentral:rRNA from 1 species